rnacentral:SRP_RNA from 1 species
UGUUGGUUCUCCCUGCAACACUAACUUGCAGAACUGGUCAGGUCCUCGGAAGGAAGCAGCCGCAGCAGGUGACGUGUGCCGGGAUGAGCUGGCAGGG